CAUAUCAGCAAAUUUUUUUUUUGGGCGUUUACGUUUGUUCAUUUUUUGUGGCUGGACAGUGUUGAUACUCAAACAAGAGCAUAAUUACAGACGUUGCUAAACAAGUGAGUAAACGUCGGGUUCUGUGGUCUGAAAAUAAAGAGAUUGAUGCAUCAACAAGGAAGAAAUCCUUUGUGGCUUUGUUCUUUAUAUUCUUAUCUUUUAUAAAAUUUUGAACAAAUUCCUUGAUCCUUUAUAAAUCUGUUUUUCCACUCUCAGGGGUUUUGAUGUUCUUCAGAAUACUGGUACAUAACAGUCGUUUCUUGCCUUAUAUUGUUUGGUAUUUCUGUUUUGCUUUGCAUCAAUCUUACCUUUCUUAUCUACAAAUUUUCCAUGCUGGCUAGGGUUUCUGGAUUUUAGUUUAUUUUUCUCGUUGAUUGACUAGCAGCUGAGUUUUUGUUUUAAAAUUUAUUAGGGUUUUGGGGACUUCUGAUUAUUUUUACACAAAUUUGAACACAAAAUUUCCUUCCCGUUGUAGAAUUCUCUUGGAAACUAAAUGGUGAAGAAGGAUUCAUACAUUUGACACCAAAUUUAUCAGAAAUAUCUGUGUGAUUUUACUUAGACGCCUCUUUCUCAUUUCUUGUUUUAAAUUUUUUGACAGAUCUUAAGUUUCUCCUAAGCUGCUGAGCACAAGAGCCACGUCCAGGUAAUUAUUUUAAGGUCAUUUCACAGUUAUUUUUUCCUUAUCAGGGUUUCACUUAUUUGACAGAAAUUUUGGUUAUUUUGCAGAAAAUGGUGAGAGGAAAGAUUCAAAUGAAGUUUAUUGAAAACGAAUCAAGCAGGCUGGUUACCUUCUCAAAACGCAAAAAUGGGCUGUUAAAGAAGGCUCGUGAGUUAUCAGUACUCUGUGAUGCUGAAGUAGCUUUGAUUAUUUUCUCACAAAAAGGAAGACUUUUUCAGUUCUCAAGCUCCAAGUACGUUUUUAUAUCUCUCAAUGCAAUUUUUAAAUUUUUAUUGUACGUAUCCCAUUAAUUUCACGUACACGUUUCUAUUGCAUAAAAUUGUACUUAGUUGAAUGUGCUUUCUACUUUGCUAUACUUAUAAGUACAUAUUCAUGUUUUUAUAUGUAUAAUAUCAUAAUGUUUGAUGGAGAAAUAGGAUAUUGGGUUGCUGUACUUUGAGAGAUUUCCAGUACUUUGUUAACAGCAGCUUACAUUCCUUAAGCUUCCCAGAAUCAAUCUUACUUUGUUAAUAUACGAAGAUUGCUCGCUGACUUAAAAUUUUGUUUGGAACAUGACUUAUUGUCAAAAAAUUGCUAAGGUUGCGAGAAACUUAGGGAUCUCCUUUUGUGCAGAGGAUGUAUUUUAGUGGGUUCAUUUCGACUGUCGUUCCUAUCACGAACAAUAAUUAUUUUGGACCAAAACGUUGUGUUUGCUGUAGACUUCUUUAGAAAAAAUUAUAGGAGGUGACAGCUUGUUGAAACAAAAUUUUUGGUUGAAGAGUUAAUUUAAACAAGCCUCAGUUUGGUAAAUUUUUUGAUGGUUUAUAAAGAAGAAUUAAUAGUAAGACGAGUGGUAGUGAGUUCCACGAAAUAUAUGGUUAAUAAUAGUAGUAGUUAUGAAUAUGUAGUUGAAAUUAAUGUUUUUGACUAAAUCUUGUAAGACGGUCCUACCGGAGGACAAGGGUAGGGUGAAUCUCCAUAACGAUUUGUAUAGAUCAUAUACAUAUUUGUAUCAAAAUGGGGGCUAAAUGAAUGUAUUCCCUUUAUUAUAACCUAAGUUUUUAUCGAAAUUGUUCACACAAUGUUGGUACUUAUGCUAUAGGUUACUAGCUACCAUAUGUUGUGAUUUGAUGUUUAUUUGUUUUCUUGCAUUAAUUCACCAAUUACCUCCAAAAAAAUAUGGUCAUAUUCAUAUUCAUAUAUCCUUUCGUCCAUUCAUGUCUCUUGAACUGAAUAUUUUCAUGCCAUUAUGCCAGAAAUAAUGCAAUCAGUCUCACUUGUACUCAUUGCACCAAUCAGUUUUGUUACAAAAGAGUUUAUAAUUGUCUCUUUGAAGUCAGUAGCUAAAUUUUACUGUAAAAAAUGACUUCCCCCAUUCAUGCUUUUUUCACUCUCAGCAAAAUCUGCAAAAACAGUGCUCGUGAUUUACCUUCAAUCCUUCAAAGACGUCAAUCAUGGAAUAAGUAGGAAGAUUUUAAUUUCUAUAUUAAGUCUACAUGCAUGCAUAUGUGCCUGAGUACUUGUGCUGUUCACGGGUACAUGAAACCAGCAACAUUGACACUGCAUGUUAGUGCAAUCACAACCAAUUUUUUGGGGGAAAAAAAAAAUUGGUUAAAAAAUUAAUACGGAUAUAUAUUUUAUAGAUUAAUCGAAAACAAGAUGAAUUAAAAAAGCAAGGGAAGAAUAAGAAAUGUUCUUUGUUGCAAGGGCAACUGCUUCAAAGCCCUUUGCUUAUGGUAGCCUGACAUCUUGGCAUUUCUUUACAUCUUUUUAAACUAAAAAACCUUUCCUCUCCACAAAGGAUCUUAAAAAAUGAGUAUGUUUCGUCUUUAAUUUUGUGCUAUGCAUCUAAUCUCUACCAUAGAGAAUUCAUGUUUUGCUAACCUCUCGCUUCUCCUAGUAAAACCGGGAGCGAAGGAAUAAUAUAGUGUGACCCACUUACUGUGAAAGCUAAACCCAAUUUAGUACAGAAUUUUUUUUUUUAAAACCUGCAUGGGGUUUUUACCCCGAGUUUAAUUAAGAGCUUUACAGGUAAAAUCUUGAAGUUCACUUUAUUUCAAUACUUUCUUGAGAGCAAUUUUCUUUUCAAAGAUUUCCAAUGUGUAAAAAACCUAGGCUGAGCUGCUAGCUACUUGUCAAAAUCCUCAUAUAUGUUUCUAUUAUAAAUCUUGUGUGACAGCAAUGUUUGUUCCCUCGUUUUCUUUUACUUAUGUUGUUUCUGAGGGAAUUUCUCUACUUUGGAGGGAGACUUGUUUACUUUUCUUUUUGUCCUUGCAUGUGACUUAGUCCAACAUAGAAUAAUAAAUCGGAAAAGUAAGUCAGGUACUAUAUAAUGGAAUGCCUGGCUAGAAAUAAGUGCCGAGAAUAAUAUUCUCCANUUGAUUCUUCAAUAGCGGCAACAAUAUAAUCAUAUUUCGCGGGAAGGCUUCGAAGGACCUUUUGAACAACUUUUUUUUCUUCAAUUGUGUCGCCAAGGCUUCUGAUUUGAUUUACUAUUUCGGAGACUCGAGUUAGAUAGAAUUGCAUAACUUCAUUAUCUUUUUUUGAUAAAUUGUCGAACUCCCUCCAAAGAGAUUGAAGCUUUAGAGAUGUCACCUUGUCAUUGCCAUGAAAUCCCUCAUUUAAGAUAUUCCAAGCUUGCUUGGCUCUUUUGACACCGUGAAUUCGAGGAUAUAUGGUCUUGCUUAAUCCUUGUUGUAUAAAUCUAAGAGCACUUGCAUCUCUCCGUAAAUUUUUCUUGUAAUCUUUUUGUUGAGCCUCCGUUCAUUCUUCUUCUUCUUCUUCAUUAUCAUCAGGUUCUGGAAAUCCAUCUUCAACAACCUCCCACAAAUCUUGCGCAAUGAAGAGUGUCUCCAUUUGACUACUCCAAUAAUCAAAAUGCUCUCCUUCAAAUAUGGGAACUUGGUUAGGAGUAUAGGAAAACAUGGAUGUAGAAACAUGAUUUGCUGCCAUGUUUUGGAGAGGGAAAAUAAAACUUGAGAUACAUAUAGAGAACUAAGCUCUAAUACCAAAAAUUUGUUGGGGAUUGAUUAAAAACCGAAUGAAAAAGAAGGAAUAUUGAAUGCUCGAAAUUAUAUGUAAUAUAGUGCUGCUGCACUUUUUAUGAUUGUAGAAGAGAAGAUAUUAUAUUGUAAAUUUUUGUGACUUCGAUGCUUUUAAUGGCUUGAGUUACAUGGGUAUUUAUAGAUAAGAUUUAAUAUGUAUCUAGCCUAACUCAUGAACCAACAUUAAAUAGAUACGUUUCUCCUCCUCUAGUACAUUAAUGGACAAAUGCAUGUAUAAUUAUAAUUCAUGAAUCUAGAUAAUAAAUGCAAAUUACGUUUCCAACAUCCUCUUCACAAAGGAUCUUAAAAAAUGAGUAUGUUUCGUCGUUAAUUUUGUGCUAUGCAUCUAAUCUCUACCAUAGAGAAUUCAUGUUUUGCUAACCUCUCGCUUCUCCUAGUAAAACCGGGAGCGAAGGAAUAAUAUAGUGGUAACUGACUUACUGUGAAAGCUAAACCCAAUUUAGUACAGAAUUUUUUUAAAAAACCUGCAUGGGGUUUUUACCCGGAGUUUAAUUAAGAGCUUUACAGGUAAAAUCUUGAAGUUCACUUUAUUUCAAUCUUUUCUUCAGAGCAAUUUUCUUUUCAAAGAUUUCCAAUGUGUUAAAAGACCUAGGCUGAGCUGCUAGCUACUUGUCCUAUCAAGAUCCUCAUAUAUUUUUCUAUUAUAAAUCUUGUGUGACAGCAAUGUGUAUUCCCUCAUUUUCUUUUACUUACGUUGUUUCUGUGGGAAUUUCCCUACUUUCGAGGGAGAGUUGUUUACUUUGCUUUUUGUCCUAGCAUGUGACUUAGUCCAACAUAGAAUAAUAAAUCGGAAAAGUAAGUCAGGUACUAUAUAAUGGAAUGCCUGGCUAGAAAUAAGUGCCGAGAAUAAUAUUCUCCAGGAAAAAGGGAGAAAAGGAUAGGAAAGGAAAAAAAGAAUAAUAAUUUUUUCCUUAUUUCUCAAAUUAGUGAUCAUAUUGUAAGUGUGUGUUCUUGAGUAUAAUUGUGAUUUAAUAUAUAUAUAUUUAUGGCCAGUGAUUUAUAUUAGAUAUUAGAGUAUUUUCAUGUUCUUUAUUGUUGUUACUAUUUCUAUCUUUUGUUUUUCUUAAUAUUUUGCAUUUGCAAGAAGAACCUGAUCAUGGUUAAUUUGGAAACAGGCUUGGGUUAUUCUAAUGUAUUGAUCCAUGCAACUAUCUCUUAUAGAACUUGGUUUAUCAAAUUUGAUUUAUUAAUGUAUUGAUCCAUGCAAGUAUCUCAUAUAUUGUAUUUUUUCUAGUUGCAAAUAAUACAUUUAUUCUCAGGCACAAUAUUGGACACAAUUUAAAAGUAAAUUUGAUAGUAUUUCAGUUUCUUUUAUUUCUUAAUAUUGUCUUGUAUUCUACAACCACCCUGCUAAACAAAUUAUGUAAAAACAACAAAAAUGUUCGACUAUCUCUAGUUUCUACAUUUUGAUAUAAAACAAAUGUGUUGGGAUUCAUAAAUCAUAUAGAAUAUACCUAAAGACUGUUAAAAAAUUUUGUAACCUUUACAUAUGUUUAUAUUCGGUGAUGAGAAAGUUGAAAUUUGAUUAGUGUGGUUUAAAAUUUCAGUCUUUUUGCAUUUAGCUUCCCAAAUUGAAAAUAUGGAUUCUCUCUUUUCUUUUUUCUUUUUUCUAGCUGAAAGCAUUUUUUUUUCAGCAUGGAAAAUACAAUUGAGAAAUACCUUGAACAUGGAAAAGAAGAGGAGACCACAACUAACAACACUGAAGUUCAACAACAUGUGCAGGUUUGAAAUAUUUGUCAUUAAUUUUGUCGAAAUAUCUCAACUGUUUAUCAGCCAUUUCGUGCCAAGUAAUUUACAUUAUACAAUGUUGCCUUUUAUUGGUAGUGGCGAAUAAAUUAUUGAAG
rnacentral:lncRNA from 1 species